AUGUGGCAAUUGGAGAGAGAAAGUAUGAGGGUUUAGGAGGAUGAUAUGAACAGGAAAGGCCUUGGAAGCAAAGCCCCCAGGAAUGACUGGAAGACAACACUCUGCAGACCCCUUCCACAGGGUACCCCUGCUCUCCAGGAAGGGCCUUCAGGGCAGCAUUUGGAGGUGGCAUGAGCUAGCAGCGGCGUGCAGCCUGGUCACUGUCUGAUCUGGUCAGCCCAGCCGCACAGAACACCACACAGGCUCUGGCAGCUCCCUGGGAAAGAAGAAAGCAGCAUCUUGCAUGUGUGGCUUAUUCUGAAAGGAAUAGUAUCUGAGGGAUUUGAUGGACUCUGACAGGGGGAAGAAGGUAGUGAAAAAGAUGGAACAAAGAUGCCAUUUAAAAAUACUGGCUCGUGUUCAGGAUUUCGCUAUUUUUUACUGCAAGGAACAAGUAAAAAAAAAAAUCCUCCUAUUGAUGAGUAUUUUUCUACAGUCAUUAAAAGUCAAAGGACUCAGGGCUUCCGACUUUCCCUCUUGGGAAACCUGUAAGCUCGUCUUCUGGACAGCUUAGAAAAGGGCUGGAUGGCGAAGGCGAGAGGCUUAAAGGCCCCCAGCAAGCAGCUCCGCCGAGGAACGGGUGCAGGGGACACACUGUGUUUUCAGUUCAGAUUCUGUGAUCUUUCUGCCAAACAGGGGUUUACAAAGCAAAAACCUCCAGAGAAUUCUCAUACUUUCUGGCUUAUUCUCCUGGUGUUCGUCUUAACAGGAAUCAGCUGUUUGCCUUCUCACUUAUACAGCAUGUUGCUGAGGCGAAUUUAGCAUCUGGCCUGGCUAUUAUUAAAAACAAGAACAUCCUGCUCUGUUGGGAGAACAGCACCACUGGCAAUAAAAGGACAGAGAUCAUUUGCAUUCAGGAUUCCAGAGAUGUGUUUCAGUUCAAUAUCUGCGCUCCCUCCUUCCACCCCUGCUUUCAUUUUAAGAUUUCCUGAUGCAUCCAUCACUUGCAGCGUGGUCAACUUUUUUUCUGAAACAGGCACACACAGGCAGAGCAUAUUUUUUCCUUUCACUGGGAGGCAGGAAUGACUGGAGUUGUUCAAACACCGGUCCGUUCCUGCAAUUCCUAUGAUAAAGUUGAACUACCAGAGGAAUUUUUUUUUUUUUUUUUACAACUGCGGAAAUGAAAAAGUAAACAAGACUGGGACUGCAUUGGUAUUUAGGCUCCAGCUUUUUGUUGUUGUUUUUGUCUUUCCCUUUUUUUAAGCCAUUGGGCUAGGAGCCUGAAGGGACCAUAUAAUAUGAAAAACGCUGAGAGGUUUUAUUAGCCAAUAAAAAAAAAAACUGAGUUCCUAUUAACCACUUAACUCCUUGCUGAAGUUCAAACUUGCUUUCUCC
rnacentral:lncRNA from 1 species